CAAGACUUGAAAGAAGCCACAUCCUCAAGUACCUUGCUGAAUUGGGGCCCAUGUGCCCAAGCUUACUGAGUGAUUUAAGUCUGGCACACCAGGACCCUGAUUGGGGGGGACGGGACGGCUGAGAGCUGCUGUAAUGGUAGAAAGUUAUCAUGGACCAAAUACCUGAUACUCUUCACCAACAAUAAAUGAUUUCCAUCCUUCAAACGGAACAUGCAGAUGCAAACAAGUAGGAGCAGCCUCAGGCCAUCUUGAACCGAACAGCUCUCCUACGCUUCACGCCCUUUUUCCAGGAUUACCCGUGCAGGUGCCAUAGCGUGGCAAGCAUGGAGCCUGCUCAGAUCUCCGCUG